AUACGGAGGAUCCGAGCGUUAUCCGGAUUUAUUGGGUUUAAAGGGUGCGCAGGCGGCCAUUUAAGUCAGCGGUUAAAUCGUGGGGCUCAACCCCAUUCUGCCGUUGAUACUGGGUGGCUUGAUUGCGGUCGAGGUUGGCGGAAUUCGUUGUGUAGCGGUGAAAUGCAUAGAUAUGACGAAGAACACCGAUUGCGUAGGCAGCUGACCAGACCGCAAAUGACGCUCAUGCACGAAAGUGCGGGGAUCGAACAGGAUUAGAUACCCUGGAAGUCCGCACAGUAAACGAUGAAUACUUGUUUUCGGCGAUAUAAUGUCGGAGGCAAAGCGAAAGCGAUAAGUAUUCCACCUGGGGAGUACGCCGGCAACGGUGAAACUCAAAUGAAUUGACGGGG
rnacentral:rRNA from 1 species